rnacentral:rRNA from 1 species
GUGGGGAAUCUUGCGCAAUGGGCGAAAGCCUGACGCAGCCAUGCCGCGUGAAUGAUGAAGGUCUUAGGAUUGUAAAAUUCUUUCACCGGGGACGAUAAUGACGGUACCCGGAGAAGAAGCUCCGGCUAACUUCGUGCCAGCAGCCGCGGUAAUACGAAGGGGGCUAGCGUUGCUCGGAAUUACUGGGCGUAAAGGGCGCGUAGGCGGACAGCUUAGUCAGAGGUGAAAGCCCAGGGCUCAACCUUGGAAUUGCCUUUGAUACUGGCUGUCUUGAGUUUGGGAGAGGUGAGUGGAACUCCGAGUGUAGAGGUGAAAUUCGUAGAUAUUCGGAAGAACACCAGUGGCGAAGGCGACACACUGGCUCAUUACUGACGCUGAGGCGCGAAAGCGUGGGGAGCAAACAGGAUUAGAAACCCGGGUAGUCC